ACAUAAAGCAGGAAAGUCUAAAGACUAAUCAGUGAUUGCACUGAGAUGACUCUGUAAUAUGCAGUUGGUUAGAGGAUUAUUGUUCCUCCUUAGUAUAGUUUGUGAGGUAGUUUGGUUUUGAGACAACGUUUCAUUGUGUCCUACCCUGUCUGUGAACUCUCAAUGAAUCUCUUGCCUCAGUUGCCCUGUGAAGGGAUUACAGGUGUGGGACACUGUGUGCUUGUCACCAGUUUGUGAUUUUAAUUUACUUUUUUGUGGGUCCCACCUUCCCUGGUGACCCUGAUCUCUCCUCAGUGUCCCUGUCCUGACGCUCUCUGCAUAAGGCAUUAAAAUUUCUAUGGAAUGUCUUAUAAAUAGAACCAAAC
rnacentral:lncRNA from 1 species